rnacentral:rRNA from 1 species
AGUGAACGCUGGCGGUAGGCCUAACACAUGCAAGUCGAACGGCAGCACAGUAAGAGCUUGCUCUUACGGGUGGCGAGUGGCGGACGGGUGAGGAAUACAUCGGAAUCUACUUUUUCGGGGGGGAUAACGUAGGGAAACUUACGCUAAUACCGCAUACGACCUACGGGUGAAAGCAGGGGAUCUUCGGACCUUGCGCGAUUGAAUGAGCCGAUGUCGGAUUAGCUAGUUGGCGGGGUAAAGGCCCACCAAGGCGACGAUCCGUAGCUGGUCUGAGAGGAUGGUCGGCCACACUGGAACUGGGCCACGGUCCAGGCUCCUACGGGAGGCAGCAGUGGGGAAUAUUGGACAAUGGGCGCAAACCUGAUCCAGCCAUACCGCGUGGGUGAAGAAGGCCUUCGGGUUGUAAAGCCCUUUUGUUGGGAAAGAAAAGCAGCAGGUUAAUACCCCGCUGUUCUGACGGUACCCAAAGAAUAAGCACCGGCUAACUUCGUG